rnacentral:lncRNA from 1 species
AUAAGGUACUCUCUUAGAUAAAGGAAGUGCCAGAGACUGGGAAGACAUUAAUCCUGCCUGCAGAAAUCCCUUUUUAGUCUACAUGUCAUAAAAUGUAUG